rnacentral:tRNA from 1 species
AGCCAUGUAGUGUAGUGGUUUGAGCAUUGGACUAUAACUCUGGACACCAGGGUUCAAAUCCCCACUCAGCUA